rnacentral:rRNA from 1 species
UCGAACGAAGUAGCAAUACUUAGUGGCAGACGGGUGAGUAACAUGUAGGUAUCUACCCUAUGGCCUGGAAUAACACGAGGAAACUUGUGCUAAUACUGGAUAAGUCUUUACGGAGAAAGCUUUAUGCACCAUUGGAUGAGCCUGCACUUGAUUAGUUUGUUGGUGGGGUAAUGGCCUACCAAGACUUUGAUCAAUAGCUGAUUUGAGAGGAUGAUCAGCCACAUUGGGACUGAGACACGGCCCAAACUCCUACGGGAGGCAGCAGUGGGGAAUCUUGCACAAUGGAGGAAACUCUGAUGCAGCGAUGCCGCGUGAGUGAAGAAGGCCCUUGGGUUGUAAAGCUCUUUCGUCGGGGAAGAAAAUGACUGUACCCGAAUAAGA